UACGGAGGAUCCGAGCGUUAUCCGGAUUUAUUGGGUUUAAAGGGUGCGCAGGCGGGAUGUUAAGUCGGCGGUGAAAUUUUGCAGCUCAACUGUAAAAGUGCCUUCGAUACUGGCUUCCUUGAGUGUGGAUGAAGUAGGCGGAAUUUGUGGUGUAGCGGUGAAAUGCUUAGAUAUCACGAGGAACUCCGAUUGCGCAGGCAGCUUACUAAUCCAUCAUUGACGCUGAGGCACGAAAGCGUGGGGAUCAAACAGGAUUAGAUA
rnacentral:rRNA from 1 species